rnacentral:lncRNA from 1 species
GAGAGACAAGGAUAAAGAAAAACAAAAGAAGGAGAGACAGUUGAGCAACAGAGUCAGGGAUGACUGACCUGUGCCAGAGGAGAGAGGAGCAAAGGAAUACAAUAAUCGAGAUAUGAGCGUGUUAAAGGUGACAGGAAUUUACUUUUACUGUGUGUUACUGGGGAGCUCAUUAGCUAGCGGAUCAAAGGCAGAAGGGGAUGAAACAGGCUGGUCAAGUGACAAGGACAAUCUAUUCCACUAGAAAACCAGCCAGCGAAGGUCAUCGAAGGAGGACCCUUUGUGGAUCAGGACCAGGACACACUGCUGCGCCGUCCUAUGAAACAGACCCCCUGCACCAAGAGGUAAUGUCAUCCUUUAAAUGUUACUUUUUUAUUAGAAACAGAUGGAAUGUGAAGGCUUGAAUAACCUACAUAUCAACCCACUAUCUUCUAAUUAAACCAUUGCCAUGAUAACAAUGAUAAUGAUGUGUAAUUAAUUCUUCCAAAGUAAAAUUUAAUAACAAUGAACUACAUUUUCUAACUAAUUUAACAAUCACAUGUUUUCUCAGAGAAAAUAAAACACAGUAACUGCACACUAUAUUUUGUACAGCACACAAGAACCCCCUGUUGUAUGUCCAAUAUCCAACAUGUCCAAAACAUUAAUUUAUGACACUAUAGAAAAUAUAUGAACAAAAAUUAAAUCACUAUAUAAUUGGACAGUAGAUCAUUGUUAAUCUAAAAAAUGGGCUUAAGUGUAGUUGUGGUCAAGGUGGAACAGAUGUAACAUGAAUGAAGAGUUUGCGGAAGGCUGUGUUAAUUAUUGAAAAGCUAAUAGACCGAGAAUUAUCCAAAAUCAGCUAAAUACAUUCCCAGAGUAUUUCCACACUUAAGGACUUGUUUUCUCCCACUUACACAGAACAUUUUUUCUCCUAAAACGCCUGCAAACCUGAAAAGUAUGGAUUAGAAGAAGACAGCAAAUGACAACAAGAGAGCAAAUGACUAGAACACUAGAAAAGGAAAUCAA